GCAACCCUGCACUUGAGCAAGUAGACACUGCACUCACCUUGAAGGAAUAUCAUAGCCUCCAGCAGCUGCAAGACACAGCGAAAAAGGGGACUGACUUAAAACACUUGCCCUAAAUGCCGACCACCACAGUCCCACAAAGCCCCUGUAUUUUACUUUGGGCAAAGCUUAUGGGCUCCUAUAGACCGUCCAAACGAUUUAUAAUGUCUCCACUAUCAUAGACCCAUGAUAACCCCUAGUAAUAGUUUGCUACAUAUAAGAGACCCUAUGAUAACCUGUACAAGUAGGUUUAUUAAGUGAUGUUACUGUGUAAUUGUUAUUAUUGCUAUUCUCAUACCAUGACAAAGUUGUAUUCCG